UCACUACUUGCGUAGGUAGUCUCUCUAGAGUGCCCAGCUUGACCUGAUGGCAACAUAUGACGAGGGUUGCGCUCGUUGCGGGACUUAACCCAACAUCUCACGACACGAGCUGACGACAACCAUGCACCACCUGUACAGGGCCCUUGCGGACCUGACAUCUCUGCCAGUUUUUCCUGUAUGUCAAGCCUUGGUAAGGUUCUUCGCGUCGCGUCGAAUUAAGCCACAUGCUCCGCCGCUUGUGCAGGCCCCCGUCAAUUCCUUUGAGUUUCGGUCUUGCGACCGUACUCCCCAGGCGGAGUGUUUCACGCGUUAGCUGGGCCCCUGAUCCACGUAGACCAAGGGCGAACACUCAUCGUUUACGGCAUGGACUAC
rnacentral:misc_RNA from 1 species